rnacentral:ncRNA from 2 species
UAACAGGUCAUUUUAAAGACCACCCAAAGUAUGGAAAACAAUAUUU